CUGUUAUGGAGCUGACACUACACAAAGCACUGCAGUUUACAAAAUGAGUAGGACAUGGCCCCUUCCCAUAUGGACCUAUUAGCCUGCUACAGGAGCAAGGUACCAUAUUGGAUGGAAGCAGAGAACAUCCCUCACCAAAUAAUCAGCCUUGCUGGUGGCUUCAUUGUGAACUUCUCAGCCCAGAAUGGUGAGAAAAUAAAUUUCUCUUCCUUAUAGAUUACCCAGUGUCAGAUAUUUUGAUGUAGCACCACAAACAGACUAAGGCAGAG
rnacentral:lncRNA from 1 species